rnacentral:rRNA from 1 species
AAAAAAAAAAGUUAACCUGCCUAGUAUCGGGUGAUAACUAUUUGAACCGAUAGCUAAUACCUCAUAAGAUUAGAUCUUGCAUGACAUUUUCUUACACGUUUCAAUUGCAUCACUACCAGAUUUACCUGCGUUUUAUUAGCUAGGUGGUGUGGUAACGUCUUACCAAGGCGACGAUACAUAGCCGACAUGAGAGUGUGAUCGGUAAUAAUGAGACUGUGACACGGACAAGACUACGAAGGGAGGCAGAAGUAGGGAAGCUUCGGCAAUGGACGGAAGUCUGACCGAGCAACGCCGCGUGAGUGAAGAAUGUUUUUUGUUUAAA